rnacentral:rRNA from 1 species
GAUGAACGCUGGCGGCGUGCCUGAUACAUGCAAGUCGAGCGAACAGACGAGGAGCUUGCUCCUCUGACGUUAGCGGCGGACGGGUGAGUAACACGUGGAUAACCUACCUAUAAGACUGGGAUAACUUCGGGAAACCGGAGCUAAUACCGGAUAAUAUAUUGAACCGCAUGGUUCAAUAGUGAAAGACGGUUUUGCUGUCACUUAUAGAUGGAUCCGCGCCGCAUUAGCUAGUUGGUAAGGUAACGGCUUACCAAGGCGACGAUGCGUAGCCGACCUGAGAGGGGGAUCGCCCACACUGGAACGGAGAACCGGUCCAGACUCCUACGGGAGGCAGCAGUAGGGAAUCUUCCGCAAUGGGCGAAAGCCUGACGGAGCAACGCCGCGUGAGUGAUGAAGGUCUUCGGAUCGUAAAACGCUGUUAUUAGGGAAGAACAAAUGUGUAAGUAACUAUGCACGUCUGGACGGUACCAAAUCAGAAAGCCACGGCUAACUACGU